rnacentral:rRNA from 1 species
AGAGUUUGAUCAUGGCUCAGGAUGAACGCUAGCGGGAGGCUUAACACAUGCAAGUCGAGGGGUAAAUGGCAGCAAUGCUAUGAGACCGGCGGACGGGUGCGUAACGCGUAUGCAACAUACCUUGUGCAGGGGGAUAGCCCGUGGAAACGCGGAUUAAUAUUCCAUAGUCCAGCUAUAUCGCAUGGUAUAGUUGGUAAAGAUUUAUCGGCACAAGUUUGGCAUGCGUCUGAUUAGCUUGUUGGUAGGGUAACGGCCUACCAAGGCUACGAUCAGUAGGGGUUCUGAGAGGAUUAACCCCCACACUGGUACUGAGACACGGACCAGACUCCUACGGGAGGCAGCAGUGAGGAAUAUUGGUCAAUGGGCGGAAGCCUGAACCAGCCAUCCCGCGUGAAGGAAGACAGCCUUACGGGUUGUAAACUUCUUUUCUGUCAGAAGAAUAAGCUUGUCGAGACGAGUGAUGCCGGUAUGACAGGAAUAAGCAUCGGCUAACUCCGUGCCAGCAGCCGCGGUAAUACGGAGGAUGCAAGCGUUAUCCGGAUUUAUUGGGUUUAAAGGGUGCGCAGGUUGUUUGAUAAGUCAGUGGUGAAAGUCUGUCGCUUAACGGUAGGAUUGCCAUUGAUACUGUUGGACUUGAAUAUGGAUGAGGUAGGCGGAAUGUGUAGUGUAGCGGUGAAAUGCAUAGAUAUUACACAGAACACCGAUUGCGAAGGCAGCUUACUAAUCCAUCAUUGACGCUGAGGCACGAAAGCGUGGGGAUCAAACAGGAUUAGAUACCCUGGUAGUCCACGCCGUAAACGAUGAUCACUCGCUGUUUGCGAUAUACAGUAAGCGGCUAAGCGAAAGCGUUAAGUGAUCCACCUGGGGAGUACGAUCGCAAGGUUGAAACUCAAAUGAAUUGACGG